CCUGAGCCGAAGUCUGACGCUCAAUCGACUAAACCACCCAGGGACUGAAGAUCAAAAGCACUCAAAACUAAGGCUGAACAACUAUUACUACUGCACAUAUUGUAAAUGGACGGGGAAAAUCUAUCAACGGUUUUCUUUAUGAUGUAUCCUACCUUUACUUAAGAGACAAAUGUUUCUUGUCAGAAAAGCUUUCUCAAACCACCCUAUCAAGAACAGGAGUCAGCAAACGAUGCACCAGGGGCCAAAUCUGAUCUGCUACACGUUUUAAUAAAGUUUUAUUGGAACACAGAUGAA